rnacentral:tRNA from 1 species
AUAGAGGCCUACCACCUCUUAUUUACC